AACAGUCAACUCAUAUGUAACAAAUAGGAUUCAGAAAAAUAAUCCAUUUGUCGGUUAGGUUCCUCAUUUGCCGAAAUGCCUGCGGAACAUCGUCCUCAAAUCAACUGCUGAGCUGAGCUGGGAGACUGGGUGGAGAGUUUUACACGAAACUGUUUUUCGCUUUAACCAAAUUCCCUUUGUUGUCUUUCCUCUCUCUGUUCUUUCCUCAACUGGAACUUCACUGACAAAGUUUGGAUUGCCUCCUUCCACCAUCUGCACAAAACAGUCUUCCAGGGCAUGAAAUCUGUGUCCAAAUUGUUUGGUUGCGUGAGUGAAAAAUUUAUGUGAUUAAAGAUUCAGUGUUCUACCAAUUUCCUGAAAUCUGCAAUGUACAUUUAAAGAAACAGUAGUCAGUUUAGCAUGUGAUGUACACUGAAAAAUGCCCAAAAUAUGGAGCGGGGAGCUAGUCUACCUUGCUGGCAGCAAG
rnacentral:lncRNA from 1 species